CCGGGGGGCCCAGACCCAGGAGCACCCAGGGCUGAGCUGGCCAGGGUGCCCGCCCCUGCAGUGAGGUGGGAGUGUGUGUGUGCACGAGGGUGUGUCUGUGUGAGACGUGUGGCCUUCUGGGGUGUGUGUCACAUGCGUAUGUCAGAUGUGUGAGGUGUGUAAGGCAUGUGGGUGUGUGACGUGUUUGUGAGUGCAUGUCAGGUGUGUGUGUGUCAGGUGUGUGAGUUGUGAGGUGUGAUGUCAGGUGUGUGUUAUGACAUAUGUGUAACCUGUGUGUGUGAAGUGUGAAAUGUUUGUGUGGUGUGUAUAUAUGUGUGAGGUAUGUGGGUGAGCUGUGCGUGAGGGCUGUGUGUCAGGUGUGUGAGGUAUGUGAUGCUUGUGUGAUGUGUGUCACGGGUGUGUGAGACGUGUUGAGUGUGUGUGUCAGGUGUCUGCUGGGGCAACAGGUGUGUCUGAGUCAGGUGUGUGUCAGGGGUGUGUGAGGACUCUAUGCCACCUGUGUGGGAGGAUGCGUUGGGGUGCAUGUGUCAGGAGUGUGAGGGGUGUGUGUGCAUCUGGGAUAUGUGUGUGAGGGGAGUGUGUGGAGGUAUCUGGGGUGUAUGUUAGAGGUUUGUGUGGGCGGUGUCUGUGUCUAGGGUGUGUGUGUCAAGAGUGUGUGUGGCACCAGGGUGUCAGCUGGGGUGUAUGUGUGAAGGGCGUGUGUGUGGGGUGUGCAGGUCAGGGACAUGUGUGUCAGGUGUGCAUGUGUGAGGUGUGUGUGUCUGGGGGUGUGUCAGGUGUGUGUGCCUGGGGUGUGAGCUGUGUGUCUGGGGUGUGUCAGGUGUGUGUGUCUGGGGUGUGGUGUCUGGGGGUGUGUGUCAGGUGUGUGUGCCUGGUGUGUGAGGUGUGUGUGUCUGGGGGGUGUCAGGUGUGUGUGUCUGGUGUGUGAGGUGUGCGUGUGUCUGGGGGUGUGUGUCAGCUGCGCGUGCGGUGGGGCCCGGGCAGGGUCGGAGGGGCGCAUGCGCGGC
rnacentral:lncRNA from 1 species